rnacentral:misc_RNA from 1 species
GUUUCCUUUCCCUUCUCUCCUAUUUGAAUCCUUUUCUCUAUUAUCAACUUGUUCAUUUGGUUUAUCACUUUGAUCUACUCAUAAUCUCCUUCGUUUCCUUUUCUGUGCAUAAUUGUUUAUUAUAUUAGGGAUUUUUCUUUUUCACCAACGUAAAUGCUAAGAUUUUUCGUCAUCCAUGGAUAAUUGCUAUAUUUAGUAUGGGAAUUACCAUAAUUUUGAAAAAUUUCUAAUUUGUGGCUCUGCUGAAUAGAUUCUAAU